rnacentral:piRNA from 1 species
UAGGUUGUCCUAUUUUCCAGGAUUGACUUC